AAAAGAGGGAUUUUGGAGAAAAUGGGGAAUUUGGUUUGGGGAUUUCAUAUUUGAGAGAAAAGGGGAGUGGAAACAAUGACUGAAAAUUUGAUCUUAAACAUUCUCCCAAAUCUGAAAUCCCCAAAUUAAAUUCCCUCUUUUCUCUCAAAUCCCUCAUUUU
rnacentral:miRNA from 1 species